UUAUUUACACCAUUUCCUGCCCAGGGAAGUUCAGGAGUUUGACGUUGCUGCGUUGGUUUCCGCUCUCCUGCCCGGUUCCCUUCGGGAGCUCUCUCAGAGCCCGGCAGCAGCCGGGCCGGACCCCGCGGGCUGGAUGGAGGUGCCAGCCUGGCCCAGGGAGGGAAAUGUCACCCACAUCAGGCUGGGCAACUCAGGUUCAACCAUCUUGGGAGGGCUGGAAAACCAACCCUGCGUCCAUCCCUCCGGCUCAGUCCUGUGUGGAGGAGGAAGGAGGACGCGCCCGGGCAUGGCUGCAGAGCUUUUGGGUUCCUGCCGAAUCGACGCCCUCCCCUCUCCCCCCUCAUCCUUCCCGCCUGGCCUGCGUCUCCCCUCCCUUCCCUUCUCCCUCCCAUCCCGCAGCAAACAAAAUGGCUGCUCCAUGGCCAUUUUGUUUCCCGUCUGGAAGGGGGAAGCCGGGACGCUGGGACUUGGCUCUUUUUUGAAGGCUGCGGCCAUGUCCGAGCCCAACUCUCCCGUCUCUACGUGGCACCGGCUGUAGCAAGAGAGAGAAAGGGAAAGAAAAAAAAAAAAGAGAAAAAAAAAAAAAAGGACAUUUUGGAAUGAGACCAAAGGCAGAGGCAGAGAGUGGGUAGUUUUGGCGUAUGUUGAGCACUGAAAAUGCCUGGAAUUGCCAAACUGAGCUUUUGUAUGAGCAGCGUAAGGGCUACUCGGUGCACGCAGAGCCGCGGGGCUGCACGGAAUAGCCGGACGGAAAGGUUUGUUCGCUAUAUUCAAUAAAACAGCCCUCCUUUCUUCUGGAUUUAUAAAGUACCAGAGAGCACUGUUGUCUUAAUUUGUUUUUGGACGGGCGGAUGGUUUUACACAUCGGCUUGGUAUGACCAGAGCCGGUCACUGCCGGACGGUAGCGUUUUAACCUGUUGUGUGUCCUCUUGUUUUUGGUGCUUACGGGAUCUGACCUUUCCACUGAGCUGGCACUGCCUGGAUUUAGCUGAUGUAAUCCGGAGGAUAUUUUUUUAGGGAUUUUUUUUUGUUUAUUGCCUUCUUGCCUCGAAAGUUUUCAUCUCAGGAAUAAAAACAUCUCAAUUUAAAUAUUUAAAGCAAUAGCUGUUCUUGGCUUUUUAAGCCCUUGCUUUUCUCCCAAGGCUGGAGCUGUACUGUGCUCACAAGCUGUUUACUGCACUCUGUGUGUAUCCUGCACACGUUAAGGUGUGAUACACAACAGAAACACCAUCAACAGGAACACGCCUUGAAAGUUUAAAGCAACUUGGUGGCGUUACUGUAAAAUUUUGCGCAGAAGCAGGGCAAAAACACCAGAACAUGCGCCAAAUAAAAGUGAUUUUUUUUUUAAGUGAUUCUGCAUUUCCUUCAGUAGCCUGGAUGUCUUGGCGUUAGUAGCCACGUCACUUUGUUCGUGGACACUCUGAGGAGCAGAUCCCUGCCCUGUGGCACGGGGGGGAUCAGGCUCUGAUAAGGUGCUGGAAUGAUCGUCCUGCUGUUCCUUGAGUGGCUUUCCAGACAUGUGGAGAGAAGCAGAGCGGAGCUGGGAAGGAGAGCAGAAAGAGGUGAAAAAUGGCUUUCCUUGCACAGAAAGGACCUGUGGAGCAGCCAGUGCCUGGAUAAGGAUGAUCUUAGUGACUGGAUAAGGAUGAUCUCAGUGCCUGGAUAAAAAUCAUCUCAAUGCCUGGAUAAGAAUCAUCUCAUAGCCUGGAUAAGGAUCAUCCCAUAGCCUGGAUAAAAAUCAUCCCAGUGUCUGGAUAAGGAUCAUCUCAGUGCCUGGAUAAAGAUCAUCUCAGUGCAUUGAUAAGAAUCAUCUCAGUGUCUGGAUAAGGAUCAUCUCAUAGCCUGGAUAAAGAUCAUCUCAGUGCCUUAGGCUGCCACGGUCCCAAGCUGUCCUUGAGGCUGAGGUAGUAGAUUGAAUAGUUGUGGAGUCUGGUCCUCCCUCUGAGCUAACUAUACAAUCUACUGUCUUUCCUAAGGAGACAGUCAGGUCUUCAGCUCUGCUCGUCCACUUCUACACCAGCUGUGGGGCAGGUGGUGCCAGGAAAGCAAAUGCCUGCCCGUGACCCGUCUGUUCUGCUCUGUGGAGGUGAGGUAGUAGGUUGUAUAGUUUGGUGGGAGGGAUUUGAUCCCAUUUCAGGUGAUAACUAUACAGUCUAUUGCCUUCCUUAAAGAGCAGCAAAACCACGGAGGAGCUCCCGAGGCAUCUCUUCUUUUGUUGAGGAUCCAAAAAAGCAGCAUGGCAUUGUUAAACAGCUCAGUGGGUGUUUCUCUUACAGUAUCCAGAAUUGCAUUCUUCCAGGAAUUGCUUCAUGCCUCAGGCACUGGAGCAUGGAGCCACCUGCUUCCAGGAAACCCACCUCUCUAAGAUUCCAGAGAACCAGGGAAAUGAGUCUGCACAGCAGCUCAGGGUUCAAUUCUAUUCUUUAUUUUUUUUUUUUUCAGGAGAUGGAUUCAAGUUGUAAAGUGUCUAAAUGUGUUGAUCUUUUCAGGUCUGGAGGGGAGCAGAUACUUUUGUUUAAAUGGGACAGAUCUGAGUUAAUUAUUUCAUGUUUUUGUGCUCAGUUCUGAAGUUUGGGUUCAGAAGCAGACCCAGGGCCAAGCUCAGCCUGUGGACUCAGAGCCCUGGGAGCUGAUCAGAUUUGGCUGCUUGGCCCCUGCUCAGGAAGUGCAUUUGGUUUUGGACCAGUUCCCAGCCUGUCCCAUGGAACACAGUCAGAGGGUGGUUCUUUCUGAUCUGAUAAUCCCUUAUCAACUGAACUCCCUCACAUGCAAACCCUGUCAGGGAAUUUUGGGGCUCUUGGGUGUUUACAUAAGAUGAUCCAAUAAUUCCAACUAAAAUCUUGUCCUGAAGUGGAGACAGGUAAGGAAGAGACAUGAGGCAGAAGGAGCAGGUUCUAAUCCUCCUGGGUUCUCCCUGACAACAGACAUGAGAGAAGUCAUCAGCGCUCAGAGCUCUGGCCCUUGGCAAGGGACAGGGAACUGUUAAUUCUUCUGUUUCUUAGGAGCAGAUGGGACGAUCCCUCUGCCGUUUUCCAGAGCGAGUAGGAUCAGGAGCCGGAGUGGAGCUGUAACCCGAUCAGGGCUGCACCAGGAAGGACAUUUCAGGCCAUUAUCACGAGCAUCUCAGUGCCAGGGAGACUGUGAGACCCGAGACUGGGGAGCGAGGGCAAGCAGAGGACACCUUCUCAGAUGAAAUGGGAGGGAGAGAGCACAGAGAAAUUGGAGCCCUCCAAUUUCAGAGGCACAGGGAGAGCCAGAGCUGGCUGCUGGAGUCCCCAGGAUGAAGCAGAAUUUCAGGCCCCUCUGCUGGGACAGGGCGGAGCUGCAGCUGCUGGGUGGGGAUGCUGCAGCUCCGAGCAGAGAAGGAAUGCAGCCCUCUCUCCAUAAAUCUGGCUUUUCAGCAGUCCUGGCGACUUGCUGUGCAAAAAACUACAGCUUGGUGCUCUGAGCUGCAUUAUUAUCCUCCAGCUGCUGGCUCAGGGGCAGGGCUCCUGCCCACAGAUUGCCUGGAAGGUACCAAAAUAGCAGCACAAGGAUGGGAACAGGGCAGCAAAUCCACUUCAUCUGGAGAGGUGUCCCCUGGAAAAGAGCUAAUCCCACAUGUCCCAGAUGGAAUCUGUUCAGUCCCCCUCCAUGGCAUUGAUAUUAACUCAGAGAAUCUCAAACAGUGGAACUGUGUGAGCUGGAAGCCAUGAAUAAAAUAUUACUGGAGAUAUUCCCUCGUGAAAAUAAACUUGGUUUGACUUUUUUAAAA